CGGAAAGGCAGGGGCGGCGGGAGGCUGCGCGCGGCCCGCCCCGCCCACCCGCCUCGGCCCUGCAGGGGCUGGAUGGGCAAGUUGGGCUCGAUGGCUCGAGCCCGGGCGGCGGCGGUGGCCGGAGGCGGCGGCGAGUCCUGCUCCUCGCCGCGGCGCCGGCGGUGAGAGGAGCGAGCGCGCGGCCCCCGAUGAGACUGCUGGCGGGCUGGCUGUGCCUGAGCCUGAGCCUGGCGGCCGUGUGGCUGGUGCGGAGGAUGUGGACGCUGCGGAGCCCGCUCACCCGCUCGCUCUACGUGAACAUGACGAGCGGCCCGGGCGGGCCGGCGGGCGGCAGGAAGGAGAACCACCAGUGGUACGAGUGCAACAGAGAGAAAUUGUGCGAAUCACUCCAGGCUCUGUUUGUUCAGAGUUACCUCGAUCAAGGAACACAGAUCUUCUUAAACAACAGCAUUGAGAAAUCGGGCUGGCUGUUUAUCCAGCUGUACCACUCCUUUGUGUCCUCUGUUUUUAGUCUGUUUAUGUCUAGAACAUCUAUCAAUGGGUUGCUCGGAAGAGGCUCGAUGUUUGUGUUUUCCCCAGAUCAGUUUCAGAGACUGCUUAGAAUUAACCCUGACUGGAAAACCCAUAGACUUCUCGACCUAGGUGCUGGAGAUGGAGAAGUCACAAAAAUCAUGAGCCCGCAUUUUGAAGAAAUUUAUGCCACUGAGCUGUCUGAAACGAUGAUAUGGCAGCUUCAGAAGAAGAAAUACAGAGUGCUCGGUAUAAAUGAAUGGCAGAAUACAGGGUUCCAGUAUGAUGUCAUCAGCUGCUUGAAUUUGCUGGACCGCUGUGAUCAGCCCCUGACUUUGUUAAAAGAUAUCAGAAGUGUCUUGGAGCCAACUAGAGGCAGGGUCAUCCUUGCCCUGGUCUUGCCCUUCCAUCCCUAUGUGGAAAACGUAGGUGGCAAGUGGGAAAAGCCAUCAGAAAUUUUGGAAAUCAAGGGACAGAACUGGGAAGAGCAAGUGAACAGUCUGCCUGAAGUUUUCGGGAAAGCGGGUUUUGCGAUCGAGGCUUUCACCAGACUGCCGUACCUGUGUGAAGGGGACAUGUACAACGACUACUACGUCCUGGACGACGCUGUCUUUGUUCUCAGACCCGUGUGACCGAAGAGCGUCUGCAUUCUCCACCACGCGGGGAGGAGCUGGGGGCUGUCGGGCUAAAGAUCAUGACUUGGUUCAUCCUGAAAUCCUCCCCUGAAUUUAUUAGUUGCCAAGCAUAUGGGUUGAUGAAGACUGUGUCGGACUCGUGCAUUCUAGGAUCUGUGAGUGCCUCCACCACAUACCCAGACAUGUUGCAAUGCAGGAACUCACUAGCUGAAGUCAUCAAAUCAACACGUUUACUGCAACACCUGGGUGUAAAGGCGCAUUGAAGCCUUGAGAAGAAUAGCUUCGUUAUCCAUUAGGAGCGGCACUCCACCUCCUCACGCCCGUGUCUCCCGCUGUCAUGGUGUAGUCACAAUAAGAGUUGGGUUAUGUGAUUUAUGCAAAAUUGUUGCACAUUGAACCUGGGCUUCCAGUGGCUAAAGUGACCCACACGUGUGUGCAGGUGCCUGUAUGCUCCCAGACAAGCUUACAUUCUGUGCACCCUGUGGAAGCGGGAAGAUGGACCGCGAGCCAAGGCCGGAUGGUCUGAGUGGUACUGCCUGGGUUCAUUAUUGACUCCAAAGAGGAUGCUCACAAACUUACAAUUGACUUCCCAAAGAUGUAAAAUCAUCCACUGGCUGAAGGAAGUUUACACUGUAUCCACAAUAAGAAACCUGUGUGAUCUAAGUGGAAAAAGGCACCCAGAUCAUUAAGGAACUAGUACUGCAAUACAAAAUUCAACAACCUGCCUUUUGCAAUUAGUGGAUCAUGAGAUAAUAGCUAGGCAACAGUGAACAGUACAAUAAAAAUAAAACUCCACACCUGUAGCUAUCUAUGGGUGUUCCUAUUUU